rnacentral:lncRNA from 1 species
UACAACUUCACCAAAAAUGGUGGCCCCGAUCCCACCCUAAGCCCGUGGUACUUGACGGCUCUCCAGAAACUUUGCCCUCCAAACUUCAAUCCUAAAGUCAUCACCGACCUCGAUCCGACGACCCCGAACUUGUUUGACAACCACUACUACUCCAACCUCCAGAAAAAUGACGGGCUUUUUGAGACUGAUCAAGAGCUGUACUCGACAGCCGGUGCUGCGACAGUACCCAUCGUCAACAGCUUCAGUGCCGACCAGAGUGCCUUCUUCAAGAGCUUCACUCGGUCGAUAGUAAACAUGGGAAACAUAAGUCCUCUCACCGGAAGUAACGGGGAGAUCAGGUGCAAUUGCAGGAAGGUCAAUAAGAGUUGAAAGUGUUUUCUGGGGGGUUUUGGCCGAGUGCGUGUACGUGAAUAAAUAGCAGCGUGUGUAAUAAAAUUCAGACAUUCUUGGAAAUGUCAAUUCUAUUGGGCAGAGAGCCGGAGGUCUGUAUUUCUACGUCGAGUGUGUUCUGUUAAGUGUUGAUCUGACUGAAGUAUUAUGCAAGAUUGUGCAUCUCUGUUAAGAGAUCACAAAAAAUAAAUGAGAACUUUCUUAUAUUGAUCAUCCCUGAAGAGUUUAUUAGAAAUUCUAUAAACGUCGGCUAACAGGAAUCAUGUAGUAUUUUAGUUUGAAAAAACAUGUGGUUAUAUAAUAAAUAAAGGACAUUAGAUAAUGCUCGAUAGCUUGAAUACAUUUUCGCUAAUCAAUUUAUAUUGGACUUGAGCACAUCUUGGUAUGGUAAUAAAUUGGUGUUCGAAGGUCAGUGUAGGCUAGUAUUUUAAGAAUGAUUUGCGAUGAUAUUCUUCAAAGGCUAUCUGAAGAAGGAGAAUGAGCAAAAAGCAUGCCCUCUUCCGUAUUUAUCAGUUCCAAGAUGGUGGCUGAUUAGAUUAAGGUAAUUUUGAUUCAAAAUUGAGGUGUCUCAAAUUCUAUUUUAGGACAUCAUCCAUUUUUAUGCACAGUUAUAAGGUUUCUUGAUAUAAGGUUUGUAUAAGAUGCAUUGAAACUUUGCAAUUCUUCACCUCGAGUUUUUUUUUUUUUUUUUUUAUAGAUAAAAAGAUAUGAUCAAAGAUAUUGCUAAAAUUUCCUUGUCAUCAUCGAUCAAUUAAGUUGUGUUGUCCGGGUUUCCAAUAAGAUCUUAAUAGCAUAAUGUGAACAGGGUACAGUAAAGAAGUUAUGAGAGAUUCUUUAGGAGCUGCUCUAGCAAGUUAUGUUAUAAAACAAUUUUUCAUCCUUCCUUCGCUAGCAUUCAACUAACAUUAUAAUUUGAUCCCUUCAACUCCUUUUACUUUUUUUUUCUCUCACAAUUAUCUAAAUACAUUAUUUUCUUUCAUAAUCACUCCAUUCAAACUGAGUGUAAAGUUGUUGUUUUAGGUCAACUUUUUCUUCUGACUAAUAAAUAUUGAAGAUUUGUGUGAAGUACUACAUGAUAAAAGGUUCCUUAAAAAGAUAUGCCGAUAGAGAUUUGCACUCAAUCGUGGAUGAAGAUGAAUGGCGAGGUGUAUUAAUGAGAUUAUUGAUAGUUUAUUCCUGAUUUUUAAGGGUGUAAAUGGCUGAUUAGGCUGAGCUUCUAGCCUAUUUUCGACUUGAUCUGACUCAAAAUUUCAGGCCUAAGAUUUCUAGGCACAAAAAAAAGACGAAGAAGAAGAAGAUGGAUUGGUUCAUUCACCCAUGCUUUCAGGAUAGCGAGUUAGGCCCAAGACGUAAUGAACAUAAAAAAUUGCAAGUAACUUAUUUCGCUUCUAAAGUUUUAUCCUCUUCAAAUUUGCAAAUGACUUUCUACACUUCAAUUAUAUAAGUGCUAAUACCGUCGAAAACCCCAAAUUGAUAUAUAUGUGCCAUAUUUACCUGAAACCAAUUUUUGCAUCACAAAAACUCUCAAAUUGGUAUAGUUGUGCUACAUUUACUCUAAUCCCAAACCUAUACGCUUGUGUCACAUUUACCCCAAACUAAUAUACUUGUGCCAUAUUUAUCCCAAAUUGUGAUGAAUUUAGGGUUUUAGGGAAUAAUUGUGGUAUAGAGGCACUAGUUUGGGGUAAAUAAAGCACGAAUGUACUAGUUAAAUAUUUUUAUGACAUAAAAAUUAGUUUAGGGUAAAUGCGGCACUGUUGACACAAAAAUUAAUUUAGAUAAAUGUAGCACGAGUUUACUGGUUUGAGGUUUUUUUUUGUGAUAUUUUUUUUUGUGAUAUUAACCCGUAAUUUAAAAUAUUAAUAAAAUAUUACAAACAUAAAAAUACGCAUAUAAAAAAUUAAUAAAGUCAUAUGGGCCGAGCCAUUUCGAGCUACACAAUGUGAAGCCCAAUAACAUGGCUAGCCCGAAAUGUCUCUCCAUAUAGCGACAAAAGUGGAAUUAACAAAAUAUUAUAAAACUCGAAAACUCCAUUGGUUUAUUUAGGCCAAGGAUUUUCGGGUUGGGCAAGGCUUUCGGGUUCUUAGACUUUUAUCUUCACCCCAUCUCAUCAUAAGUCGGGCUAUAGCACAUGUCAAAAUUAUUUCAUGAAGAUGGCAGAUGCAUAACAAUUUAUAAACCGUUGAAACCGUACAUUCAUUAGAGAGCUCUUAAACCCUCUCUCCAAAUAUAAAACCUUUUUUUUUAUCCUUUUUGAGUUGUAAUCUAAUUAAUAGGGUCAAAUGGCUGGUUUCAUAUUAUUGCCAAACAUUGAAAUGGAUAACUGGAUUCUCACCCUAAUCAUCUAUUUUUUAGAAAAACAUAAUCAGAAAAAAUCUCAUUUGUUUAUCAUCUUUAGUGAUUAAACCCCAAAUAUAUAAUUCGAUAGAUCAAUAUUGUUGGGCUAAGUGUCUAUGUGAUGGGCUAGACCCAUGAGUUGUAACUCAAUAGCACGUGUUGGAGUGGGUCUAUUUCUAAGAGGGAUAAGUGCACUAACAGUGCCAAAAGUUGUAUACGGCGCUUACUUUGGUGUCAAAAGUUUCCGCCGGAUCACUUAAGUGUCAAAAAAAUUGAAAAAUGAUCAUUUUAGUGCCAACUCUGAUAAGAUUGACUAGAAAUCUGACGUGACAUUUUUUUUAUUAAUUUUUUUGGCUGACGUGGCUCACCGGAGAGCAUAGUCGGCAUCUAAACCACAAAAGCGACGUCGUUUGGCUUCUUUCCCCCAAAUCAAAACCCUAAAUCCCCAAAUUGAGAGAGAGAGAGAGAGAGAGAGAGAGAGGAGGCACGUCGUCUUCUUCCCUGAAGAACGACACCAGCAACGAACGGCACCAACAGCAACAUCAGCAACACACCAGUAGCAGCACCAACAACGGCACCGGCACCGGCGGUGGCGGCGCACCAGUAGCGGAACCUUCGACUCCUCUUCUUCCUCCUCCUCCUCCACCCUCGCCUCCUAUUCUUUCUGUCACUUCUUGCCUAAGCAACAAUCUCAUUCUCUCCUCACUCACCUGGUCGAGCAUCUACAAUGAUGGCCGAGCGACGGUGGCCAAGCGUUGGCGGGUGAACAACGGUGGUCGAGCGGCGAGGAAGAAACCCUAACCCUAAUUUCAAUCCAUAUACGAGCUAAAUGGCAUCGUUUUUGCGAGGAUGUCCACGUAUAAGGGCAAAACGACGUCGUUUCUUGAAGAGGAUGGAAAACGACGCCGUUUAAAAGCCAAGCAACUUUUUAAAAAAAAAUAUAAAUGCCACGUAAUCAUUUUGGCCGGAAUUUCUCACCGUUGGCACCAAAGUGAUCAGAUGGAAACUUUUGACAUCAAAGUGAACGCCGUACACAACUUAUGGCACCAAUAAUGUACUUAUCCCAUUUCUAAGAUAGCUUCUUAGUCUUAACAAUGUAGUCUUGCAAAUAUGAGAGGAGACCUAAGAGAGAAAAGAGAGAAAGAGGAGUCAGGUUUUGUACUCAUUCAAGUUUGCAUUGCCUUCAAAUUGAAGACAUAUGAGUUUGUUGUAUUCAUUGUUUUUCUAAAUGGUUUUAUCAAUCUUCAAAUGAGUUGUGUUUACUGUUGGAGAGUGGUAGCACAUGCUUUGCAAUUUAGACUUUGUGGUACAGUGUCUUGUAGAAGGGUAAGCUUGUGUCUCUGUAAUUCUUGGUGCGACUAGACUUCUUUGUACUCCUUAUUGAAGUUAGGUGAUGGAUUCCGUCACCACGUGAUUUUUUUUCUUUUCAUGUUGAAAGGGUUUCCAUAGAAAUACCGAUAUUAUUAUUCUCUUCGAAUCCUCUCUCAUUGCUUCCACCGUAUUAGUGUGGUUGUUCUUGGUUGGCCUGACAUUGCGACGUUUUUUCUUCCUCCUGUCAAUCUUUGACUCCUAAAAUUUUCAUAUUUCACUAAGUAAAAUAUCAGACGAACCGCAUCUCUUCCAAAUUAAACUUGAACCGCGCAACCAUUCUGAGACGAACCAUUCGAUUUUGUUCUGAAACGUGAUUUCGCUCGCGCCACCGUGUGUUGGUCAUUGUUGACCCGUCAAUGGUCAACAGUGAGCACCACAUUUUCUCUUCCUUCUCCAGAUAAUACAUGUAUAAAUACAAAAGAAAGAAAACAGGUAGAAUAAGUAUUAUUAGGACAUAUACGAGAGAGGCGUUUGGGUGGUUGUGAGAGACGUGUUAGCGGUGACGGCGGCGGCGGAUGAACCGAUUACUUUUUCUCCCACUAACAAAUGAAUAAUAGACAGUCCAUAUGUGUAAAUCAAUUUGCAAACGAACAAAACGAGCAACAGAAAAUCUUGGUUUCAAUUAACUGAGAAAAGUAAUUGUCUCACACAAAGAAAGUAGGAUAGAUUUAUUAUACAUAAUUAAAGUCCAAGUUAAAAGUAUGAUUAUUCGUGUGCUCGUCACGUGACAUUUAAUUUUAUCUUUAUGAUUGUCACGGUGGCAUAGCUUUGCCAUUUUGUCCAUAUUUGACCAAUAAGCAUUAUUUUGUUGAUUUGUUGUCAUUGAACUUCCAACCCUUAUUGUGAUGUCAUCCAUAAGUAAGAUCCACCCCACCCUUGAAUGAUCACUACUUUGUGUUGCUAAUCAAAUUUAUCUGAUUUAAUUCAAUAUUGGAAGUUGAAACUUUUUCAAUGAGGAUAUCAUUGAAAACUCUCAGAAGCUGCCUAGCCAUGUGAUAAAAGAUUUCGAGCGUUGAUCAUGCCCUCUCAACUGCCAUCGAGAUACAUCGAUCUUCAACUGCUGCGAACAUAAAAUUUUUGUGGACCCAAAGCAUGCCGCAGGCUUACAUGUUCAAGAUCGUGGCCGGCAAUGCCAAAAUAAUAAAAUGAAAUUUCAGUUCGAAAGAUCCAACCGGAAUCUCAACCACCAUUGUAGGUUCAGUUUAGUGUUCACCCAAGUUUGCUUUUUGUAUAGAGAUCCUGCACGCCAUAGAUUUGAAAGACAGAACUUGAACCAAAAGAUUCGAAGUAAAUUCACAAAUAAUGAAAAAAAUGUAGAUUUUAAUUUCCUGGAUUUACUUCAUUGUUAUUUUCGUUGCAUUCUUAGGUUAAUAUUAUCUUGAAAAAGAAAAAAUUCAUUCGGAAUUCAUGCUAUAGUUUUAUGAUUUACGAAACAUGACAUUACCCCGUUUCUUCUGACUUUGAUCAAUCCUUGACCUCCUAAAAUAAUGAUUUUUUGCUAAGUAAUGAAUAUUACGAUUCACCAACUCUCAGCUCCUUAUGUCACAUCUGACAUCCUUUGACUAACAUUAGUUUUAUUUUUCGGUAUGACUUUGACUGACAUUGUUAGCUAUGAGCAAAAGAUAUGCCCGAGAGAAGCGCCGGCCAAACAGCUAGUCUGUAAAAUGCUCGGAAAAGAAUAAAAUUACAAACCUAAUAAUUAAAAAGAUAGAAAGACAACAAAUGAGCUGAGAUAGCGCACUUUGAAGGGAUGAAUUCGAAGAACCUCCCCAAAACCACCUAAAAAGUCAAUCUUAAAGUUAAAAAGAAAUGAGUUCAGAGACGCUUCAAAUAAGUCUUCGUCUUUUUACUUAUAUAAUCCUUAAAACAACCUAAUCAAAAGUUAGGUCAUGUUCAAACGAAUUCUUAUUUUCGGUCCACCCUCUGCAUUUUCCACUAAUAGGAAGCCUCUUCAAUUUUGACUAAUUGCAUCCUUAUCAUUUCUUCGCUAGAAAUCCCUGACGUGGCGAUGUAUCACGUACGAUGUAUGAGAACCAAGCUAUUGUAUUAGUGAUUUCAAGCGAAAAUUGAUCCGAAUGAUUAUAUUGAAAUUAAUUGAACUGCCGCGUUAGUGAUUUUGACUAAAAAUUGAUCAAAAUAACUAUAUUGAAAUUUCACACAAAGGUUUAAUACUAAAUUGGCAAAAUUGAAAAGUUUAAGAUUGAAUUGGCAGUCAUACAAUAGAUUUGGGAUUGAUUAGAUAAUUUUCCCCACUCCCUCUAAUUCCGGAAGAAACAUUAAACAUCUAAAACUUGAUUAUGCUAAUGAAUACUAUUAUAUCUUUGGUAAGAAAAGGGACAAAGUUCAAAAAUUACAUCGCUGCUCUUCUAAUAAAGCAUGAUCCAAUCUAAUACCUUAACAAUAAAGAAAGCAAAUUUAUCGAUGGCCUAUUUAAUAUAUAAUUAUUACCCACAUUAUCAGGUCAAAUAAUUCAAUUUGCUAGCUAAUCUGCACAAUGCAUACUAGUUUUGCCAUACCUAUUUGUCCCAAAUUAAAUAGUUGACCAAACACAAUGGUUAAUUAUACAUAUAUCCUGGCAGGGGAUGAAGUUUUAGGUCUGAGGUAUGCGUCGACCGUUGCCUUCUCGAUCUCGCACGCCUUUUGCUUCUAAUUGGAUCUGACCAAAGUCGCCACGUAUUGAAUACUUCAAAGCUGAGAAGGUGGUGGGUGGAGGAUGAAUAUUACCAUUAACCUUUAAUUAUCUCGAUCGUCACUUCUUACGAAAUCAUCUCCGAAUUUUCUCUCCAAACUUGCAUCAGUAAUCGAUCCUUUCACCCAAUCCAACAAUAAUAAUUUCGCCUUGAGACGUCGGAAAACAGUCUUCGAUCAUUAGAGCUCGCAAACAAUUAUUUUAAUAAUUUGACGCGCUCAUGAUGAUUUUAAAACCGUAGGAGCUUCGACAUAUCCUAACUAUAUAUAUAGGACCAAGGAGGUACUUUGGGAUUCAAAUUGUCCAACUUCGGAGAGGUGUCCGAUUAGUCCAGACCACCUUACUUGAACGAGUCAUGGCCCAUUCUUCUACUCUUUCGUCGCCAACGGUGGUGGCCCUUUUUGCCGCCGCCUUGUUGUUUCUCCUCCAUCCAUUGAAUGCUGAACUAACCGCUGAUUUUUAUGCAAAGACAUGCCCGGACGUGUCCAGCAUCGUCCAGACCGUGAUUCAUGAGGCCCUUCAAUAUGACCCACGCAUCACCGCCAGCCUCCUCCGUCUCCAUUUUCACGAUUGCUUCGUCCAAGUGAGUCCCUACACUAGAUCAAUUCCCAUUGACAAUGAGUUCCAACUUGCCGCAUUCUUUUUACAGUACUUUCGAUCUGAUUAUUGAGUUAUUAGUCACGUAACCUAAUGCUUGAGCAUGACGUGUUUAAAGGGGUGUGAUGGAUCGGUAUUGCUGGACAAUAGCCCAACCAUAAAGAGCGAGAAAGAUGCUGCUCCGAAUUUUAAUUCCGCAAGAGGGUUCGGUGUGGUGGACAAGAUCAAAGCGGCUAUUGAGAGCACUUGUCCUGAGACUGUGUCUUGCGCUGACAUCCUCGCCCUGGCUGCUAACGCUUCCGUUUAUUUGGUAUAUGUCGUUUUAGUCAAAGAAACAUAAAACAUAUUUAAAGUAUACUUAGGAUUCGUUAUUGUCACUUGGCCUACACGAAUUAUAAUUGUGUUUCUCUUGAUUAUCACUUUUAUGAAAUUGCAGUCAGGAGGUCCAUAUUGGACGGUGCUCUUGGGGAGGAGGGACAGCUUGACGGCGAACCAAGGGCUAGCGAACGUAUCGAUCCCCUCCCCUUUUGAUAGCUAUGCCAACCUCACUUCCAAGUUCUAUGUUUUGGGCUUGGACAUCACCGACCUUGUCACACUUUCCGGUAAAAUAGAACAGUUGGACUUGCAUUUUGAUACGAACAUGCAACUACAGAUAUUGAUGCACAAAAUAGAUUAACAGAGUGAAAUGUAAUAUUUUUGUCACAUAACUUAUUGGCACAAACAUCGCAUCACUUUCAUUUAGCACAUUUCAACUUCCUAAUAUGAUCAAGGUCUCUUCUUCAUUGAGAUCAACAGACAGGCAUGGGCUGUGCAUGUGCAUGGGCCAUGCCCCGGCGAUGCUAUCUACUAGAAGGAAUUUUAGUUAAGGAUUAAGGGUUAAUUUUUUUUAAUCUAAAAUUGAAUUUAAGUAAAGAAUCGUCCUAAAACAUGAGAUCGACUAAAGUGCAUGUGUUGUGCCUAGGCUGUACCUGGGUCGUGCAUGGGCUAUGCACAUUUACUAGAAGGAAUUUUGGCUGAGGAUUAAUGAUUUCUUUUUUACCAAAAAUUGAAAAAGUAGAGGAUUGCCUAUGACUUGAGAUCGACUGACGUGCGUGCGUUGUGCCUAGACCAUGCGAUGUUGUGCAUGGGUAUGUACAUAUAUUAGAAGGAUUUUUGGCUAAAGGAUUGAGGGUUUCUUUCAAUCUAAAAUUGAAUAAGUAAAGGAUUGCCUUCGACUUAAUUUCAGGAGCAGUUGUGUAUCAUCACUACUCUAAAAAAGAUAGAUUAUUUUAAAACAAUUUUUUAAUUAUUUUUUUAUUAAAUAAAAUAGUAAAAGAAAAUAUUUAUUGGGGGUAGGUAUUAUAUAAAUUAAAUGGGCCAAGCAGGAAUUUUAGGAUGGAUCCACGCAAGGGGAUUUUAACUUUACUUUUCAGUUCAAUCAAACUAACCCUAUAUGAAUUACCAUUUAAUUCAAAUGGAUCUAAAUCAAGCCCGUAUCAGCAACUCUUUAAGUCAUAUCUAGUAUAACUUCUGCUAUCAAGACGAAGAAGUGGUCAAUGAUGACACUUCAUCGUUCAAUUCAUGAUGAGGUUCAUAGCGUUGAAACCAUCGAAUUAAUGUAAUAUUUUCUUUGUUGUGAUUUGUUUUCAAUCAAACUAGUGUACUUUUAUGUGUAAUUUUUUUUAUUACAAAUUUGAAAAAUAUAUUCGUGUUCAAUGGGUAAUUUUAUAUUCCUAAUAUCAUUACAAGAGUAUAAAUAUUGGAGGAGGAUGCUAUCAAAAUUUGCAAGCCCCUCACAUACUUGUAUGAGAAAUGCCAAGUAUACUGAGGUCAUUUGAUAGAAUCAAUAAAAUAAGUGAUGUCACAUAUCGCUAUUAUUUAUUUAUAUUUUUACUAACGAGUUUGUUGCAUAUGUUUAGUAUACAAAUUCUAUUAAGCAUUCCUAGUAUUGGUCUAUUUAUCCACCUUCACAAUUGAGCUCUGCAGAUAUUUUGUUCUCUUAGCUAAUUAUUCGUGCAUAUGAUAAUAAAACAGGAGCUCACACCUUCGGACGUGCACAUUGCAAGUCAUUCACCCCUAGGCUGUACAACUUCACCAAAAAUGGCGGCCCCGAUCCCACCCUAAGCCCGUGGUACUUGACGGCUCUCCAGAAACUUUGCCCUCCAAACUUCAAUCCUAAAGUCAUCACCGACCUCGAUCCGACGACCCCGAACUUGUUUGACAACCACUACUACUCCAACCUCCAGAAAAAUGACG